UACGAAGGGACCUAGCGUAGUUCGGAAUUACUGGGCUUAAAGAGUUCGUAGGUGGUUGAAAAAGUUGGUGGUGAAAUCCCAGAGCUUAACUCUGGAACUGCCAUCAAAACUUUUCAGCUAGAGUUUGAUAGAGGAAAGCAGAAUUUCUAGUGUAGAGGUGAAAUUCGUAGAUAUUAGAAAGAAUACCAAUUGCGAAGGCAGCUUUCUGGAUCAAUACUGACACUGAGGAACGAAAGCAUGGGUAGCGAAGAGG
rnacentral:rRNA from 1 species